UACGUAGGGUGCGAGCGUUGUCCGGAAUUACUGGGCGUAAAGAGCUCGUAGGUGGUUUGUCGCGUUGUUCGUGAAAACCGGGGGCUUAACCCUCGGCGUGCGGGCGAUACGGGCAGACUUGAGUACUGCAGGGGAGACUGGAAUUCCUGGUGUAGCGGUGGAAUGCGCAGAUAUCAGGAGGAACACCGGUGGCGAAGGCGGGUCUCUGGGCCGAAACUGACGCUGAGGAGCGAAAGCAUGGGUAGCAAACAGG
rnacentral:rRNA from 1 species